GGAGACGACGACCGCCGAAGCCUGCCCGAACAAGGAGAAGGAGCAGCCUCGGCCGAAACCGUGACACUUAGACAGAUAAAUGCUUUUUUCAACUGCUAUAGGAAAUUUAUCUGAAAUAAUCUGCUGACAUUAGGCGCUGUCUGAGCUCAAUUUAAAGAUAAUCCUCAGACAUUAGGCAUUGGCUGGACUCUUGGUUUUACAGACACCUGUUUACGACUCUCACAGUCUGUGAACCUGCCUGGGCAUAGUAAUGGCUAAAGCUGAGGUGCAGCACAAUAAUGGGGAUAUUGACCAAUGGAUGAAGACAGUGGAAAUGGCUUCAGACUUUGCAGUGACUGAGGUUUUUUCCCUGAAGAAGCCCCAUUCAGGGAUAAGGAGCCAGACAAUGGCACUAAAAAAUACAGAGCAGCUGCUGGAUCAUGACGAAGCAUACGGGGAAGGAACAGUCCAGUAGCCAUGGCACCUGCCCAGCCUGUCUCCCUGGACUACAGUAACUUUGAUGACCUGUAUUCCCACCUGGCUGAGGAGGAGGAGAGCUCAGUGGUCAACAACUUCCUUCAAGACCUCAUGGAGCGGGAAGUGGUGGAAUCUGGGAUAGUGCAGGAUCUGGCACUAGACUGAGAAGAGCGAGACAGGAGGAAGAGGAGGGACCCGGGUCUUACCAUGGAGGCGCGUCACCAACAGUGUCUGCAGAGGCACUUCUCUGGCUGGUACUCUGCUGUUGGAGAGGAGGGUGCGGAUGGGCAAGGCGGCGGCGCUCUGUGAUUGGAGGAGACAGCUGAGGGCGUGGCAAGCCUGGAGGUGACGCUGCCAGAUGGCGAUGGAGAGUGACCGGAGGCGUAUGUUAAGGCGAUGCCUGAGUGAUUGGCGGUUGUGGUGCCGGGCGGCGAGAGGACGGCGGGAGCUGUUGGCACAGCAGGAAGAGACGCGGUGCAAGAUGGCCGCACUGAUCAAUGCUGCGGCAACUGGGAAACUCAAGGUGAUGGAGACGCCUGCUCCUGAGCCAAUCACAGCCCCGCCUGAGACUUUUGACCAAUCAGAGACCACAGAACUGAAAGGUUAGGUGUGGUCACGACCUGUUGGCCCCACCCCCUCUACUGCCUGUCAAGGUGACGGACAGCUGGGGGCUGUGGUCCCGCCCACCCUCGCCUGGCAGGUGACACAGCGUCACGCAGCACUGAGUGCAGCAAUAAUUGCCAGCACUUACGCGAUACGACACCAUGCCAGCCAGCAGCAGACCAUCGCAGAGCGAAGGAGGCUCCUCCGGGAACAGCAGGAGCAGAUAGCACGCCUGCAGGAGGGAAAAAGCAUGAUGGGAUUGAAGCAGGAGGCCCAGAUCGCUCAGCUUGCUGUCCCAGCAGCCCCAGGUCCCAGAGGGAUGACCUCUGUCCCCAAAGAACCCAGGGCUGGGAGUGUCUCUGGUGGGAACGAUGGCCGCUCCUUGGCCUCGAGGAAACCAGCCGUCCGUCAGCCCUGUCGUCAUCCCACCGUCAUGGGUCAGUCAGCACAUUCACCUCCAUGUGAGCUAAACCACACAUAGACAUCCAUUCCAGAUGGUUGAUCUUACAAUGGUCGGACUAUCUUGUCAUGAAGUAUGAAGAAAAGAGGAGAAAAUUAAUUUAAUUUCUGAGUUGGAUGUAGGGGAGAGUAGGGUAAGUUGAGCCAUAUAGGUUGUAGAGGAGAGUUAGUGCAUUUACUGUUCGUUAGGCCUACUCAUUUUGUUGGCUGACGAAAAGUAAUUGUGGACAGUUCUUCCGAUAUCUUCAAUAU